rnacentral:rRNA from 1 species
CCUACGGGAGGCAGCAGUGAGGAAUAUUGGUCAAUGGACGAGAGUCUGAACCAGCCAAGUCGCGUGAAGGAUGACUGCCCUAUGGGUUGUAAACUUCUUUUAUAUGGGAAUAAAAUGUUCCACGUGUGGGUUUUUGUAUGUACCAUAUGAAUAAGGAUCGGCUAACUCCGUGCCAGCAGCCGCGGUAAUACGGAGGAUCCGAGCGUUAUCCGGAUUUAUUGGGUUUAAAGGGAGCGUAGGUGGAUUGUUAAGUCAGUUGUGAAAGUUUGCGGCUCAACCGUAGAAUUGCAGUUGAUACUGGCAGUCUUGAGUACAGUAGAGGUGGGCGGAAUUCGUGGUGUAGCGGUGAAAUGCUUAGAGAUCACGAAGAACUCCGAUUGCGAAGGCAGCUCACUGGACUGCAACUGACACUGAGGCUCGAAAGUGUGGGUAUCAAACAGGAUUAGAUACCCGUGUAGUC